rnacentral:misc_RNA from 1 species
GGUUGAGGCAAGAGAAUGUGUGGAGUGAUUUAGGCUAUGCAUCGGAGACUGUGAUUGGAGCUCCUGAAGGGAGUGGCCAUGAGACAUUGAUGGCGCUUAGAGAUUCUGGGGCUGAGAAGUUGGAAGGUAAAUGGUACCAUGAAGAUGAGAUUCUUGAUGACAAAUGGGUUGAGCGCAGUCGAAAGAAGGGUCAGGAACAGGGGUCCCAAGCAAAUACCUCGCAUUUGGAUGGAUUGAAUUGG